rnacentral:rRNA from 1 species
CAAGGUGAGAGAUACGGAGGUAGAGCACUGAAUGUCCUAGGGGGUAUUGCACCUACCGAAGACUAUCAAACGCCGAAUGCCGUCAUCUUAUACUUGGGAGUCAGACUGUGGGUGAUAAGAUUCAUAGUCGAAAGGGCAACAGCCCAGAUCGUCAGCUAAGGUCCCUAAAUGUAAGUUAAGUGGUAAAGGAUGUGGGAUUGCACAGACAACCAGGAUGUUGGCUUAGAAGCAGCCACUCAUUCAAAGAGUGCGUAAUAGC